rnacentral:other from 2 species
GGCUUCCUGCCCUGUGCGUGAUGGAGGAAAAGGGGAUCCGGCAGUUAGGUCCGUUAGGGAGCCAGCGUAGGUAGCGGUGUGCAUGCCUCUUCGGAGGAAGCCUAACCUACCUACAAGGCACCCACUUGUCCGAGUGGGAUCUAACUUUCCGACCACACGGCAGGGCGGGGGUAU